AAAGGGUAAUCAACCUGUGUUUCAUUCAGCUUUCACUGCCACCAUCCAUCACCUUGUGGAUACAGUAGGUUUCAUCAGCUUUCACGAAUCCGGCAGGCGACAGUCAUCAGCCGGCGAAGCCACAUUUUGUGGAUACAGUAGCCGCAUCGAGGUCUGAACCUCUCUUCAGGGCGGGCACCAAUCUCACCACCGACGUCCACCAAUUUGGUAGCAACACGGAGCGCCCAUCAGUGAUGGUAGCAGGUUAGUUCAUAUGCGCCCUCAAAUGCUUUCAAUUGGUAGUUCAUCUGCUGCUGUACACCCCACAUGCAUGAAGUUCUGCUGCCCCUGUGUGUUCGAGCAGAGGGCAACUGAGUAGUAUUUUCACACUUUUGAGUAGUAUUGUUCUAUAAAUGAAUGAUAAAUAUUGUAGUAGUAAUUUUUUGCCAAUGGUUAAAUCAAUUGGGGAAAUAUCCAAAAUAGUAGUAGUACAAGCAAUACUGUAGUAGAAAUUUUCAUAGCAUCAAAAAAAUAUCAUCGUGUUUCCACGUUGCAAGGCAAAUGCAUGCUAGAGUAGCAUUUUUUAUAAUCAAGAGUAGAAUUUGGUUCUUAUUCAAGUAGUAUUUUCACACUUUUGAGUAGUAUAUUGUUUUUAUAAAUGAGAGUAGUAUUUUUUUCUUACUGAAGUAGUAUUUUCCACAAUUUAGAGAAGUACUUUCAUAAUUUUGAGUAGUAUCUUUUUAUAAUAUAGAGUAGUAUUUUUGUUCUCUAUAAUACUUCAUAACUUGCGAAUCAUGCAACCAUUAGGUCAUGCUUACCACGCAACUAAUUUCUAGUUGCUUAUUGGAGCCAAUCGAAACUAAUAUGGAAAUCGCAAGACAUAAGUAUCGCUUAGGAGUAAUUUACAACUUUAUUAGUAUGUCAAUUGCUAAUAUUUUCUGUUGGCCAAAGUAUCUUCAUAGCAAAAGCAGCUUGACCUCUUUGUUUCUAAUGUUGUGCAGAUAACCUUGUAUACCUUUUGUUGGAGAAGCUGCAAGCUAGAAGGAUGCAGGGACAGAUACUUGCAUGGAUGUUUAUUCGCUUUCUUUUAUUCUUAGAAUGAGUGUAGUCAAAUUUUGUUCAUCUGUGUAUAUGGAGAUAUCUAGGAGUAAUUAUUAGUUGAUUGUAUAAAUAUUACUUAUCAGUACAUUUAUAAUUACUCCCUUA